CAUAUCGGUAUCGGCAGAUAGUCAAAUUUAUGAUAUCGGUAUCAGACAUAAAAAAGUGGUAUCGUGCCAUCUCUAAUAACAUUCAUGAACAUCUGGGAGCAGCACAAACAUCAGUGGAAAAACAACGGAAUAUUUGGAAUGUGAGGUGUUAUUUAGGAACAUCAUAUAAUGGGACAGCAUUAAGGGAAGUGUUUGAAUAUGUUGUAAGAAAAUGAACGUGUAAAGCAAUUUUUAGAAAUGUUUUUAAAAUAGAGUAAUUAGAAUAAUUAAUGAACAAUGAGCCAUUUCCAAAAACCAAAGACCACAAUUCAACGUGGAGGACGUACAGAGGACAUGUUGUCUGUAAGACAUGUGGGGGACAUUUGGCAGAUGUUUAAGAAAACCUGCUUACAUUUUAUUUUGAAAGUGUUGCUCGUAUGUUAAAAUGGGAUUGUGGACCAAUGUUUGGGACUUACUGGUUUUUUCUGAAGUGAAGACCUUUUUGUUGUGUGAGUACGUUUCAUUUUUGGAGCUAUUAUUCAGUCUUCAGUCUUACUAUUCACAGUGUAGCUGCACUGUAAGUUUAGCUUCCUGUUUUAUCUGCUUUAUUCAAUUUUAGCUCAUCAGAAGAGGAAAAAACAGACGAAGAAGAUCACGUAUUUGUAAAUUAGAUUCAAUGAUGCCUUUUUAAUCAAUGAAUAAAGAAGUUAUUGAAAUCUGCUUUAAAACUUUACGUCCAGCCCUCCUUCCUCACAGGCGAGCUCUGUAAUGAAGCCAGAAUUAGUUCAAGCUUAUGAAAAUGAGCGUCUUCACAAGUGCAGACGUACAAAUGUGUGUUUGUGUGUGGACUAAUAGGAGGAAAUUGCUAAUCUAAUCAGACCGCAAUCCAAUUGAAAUCAACUGUAUCUCACCUCUGUGAACGUUCAAGCGAGAAAACGAGUCAGUUAAAUGACGGCUGCCUCCGAAACACACCGCGCUAAUUAAAUGAGAAAAAACGUCCAUUUAAAAAAGGAAAAAGAAAAAAAACCCACCUCAGCAAAAAGAGCAGCACAGAAAGUGCGAGCAGGAAAAGUGACCUCCGGCGUGCCAGCAGUGAUGAGGGUUUGCCCUUGACUUGGCUGAACGAUGGCCACUGACACACACACACACACACACACACACACAGGCUUUCAGACUGAUGAGCUAGCUAUCAUUAGUAUCAAGCCUUCAGCCAGGACAGUAUCUUCAGAGCUACAGCUGACUGCAGUUUAUUCGGUGAAGUUAAACUCUCCGAGGCUUCGUUAACCUGCGCAGACUGUUGGUGGCAACAGGCCCCAUGCAGCGCUGCAGCUCCACCCAAUGUGUCACUACCUGCAGAUUAGCGGGAGACACAAAGCAGGGCUACAACAGAUCCACAGUGAGACUGAGCCGUGAGUCCACAGAGCACCAGACACUACAAGAAAGUGUUAAAGAAAGGGCUGCUGUUCAAACAUCUGUGUACCGUGAGGCUGAAACAUGGAGCAGGAAAAGGAAUAGAAGUCUGCAGUUCCUUCAUCGUCCAGCAGAGGCGCCAGUCAUGUUUACAGCCCGACACAAAAACUGCUCUAUAGAUGACACCUGUACAGCGCAGAAUGUGUUAUGACUCACCUGUGUAAAUGAUAUUAAGGUUUAGAGUUUGCAUGAUUAGGGGCGUGGCUGUCUGCGAGGCCUUGUUUUAUUAUUUCAAUUUAAAGCUUUUAAAAUAAUUAUUCAAAUAGAUAGAAACUAGUGUAUGUUUGUCUGUGGAGCCACUUGUGUUGUAAAUGUGAUUUAUGUGAUCUGAAAACAUCCUAAAAAUCAAAAGGCCGUGAUGCUGUCGUUAGGAAAAAUGAUCUAAUGAUCAGGACAUCCUGUUUAAAAGGCUCACACACAUUUAAACAGCAGCUCUUUCUUUAUCAAUCAUUUGUUUUAAAAGAAGUUCUGUUGAACUUUAUUUUGAAAGUGCCAGACAUCUGCCAUCAACGUGCCCUUGAGCAAGUCCCUGCUGCAUGUAUGUGUGUGUGUGCAUGUAUGCGUGUGUGUGUUCGCUGGGUAAAUAAAGUCAAACAAACACAGACCACCCACCUGGUGCUGCCAGGAGGACAAAACAAACCACAGCGAGUGUCUGACUGAGCACGCACACACCUGAGGUUAGCAACACCAGCUACAGAGUGAACCAUGUGACUGACCAGCAGCUGCACACGUGGGUGAUAAGGUAACGUCACGUUCAAGGACAACAAUUUAAAUCAAAAAUGAGAGAACCUGAGUGUGUCUGUGUUACUGAAGGGACACACACAGACGCUCACACAGUGACACUGUGGGGACCGCUCCCUCUGUGGACACCACGUCCCCGUGAGGUCCAUCAUUACAUUUGAUCAUGAAACCUGCUUUAAAGGUGAGUCUGCAGGAGAGGCGAUGGAAACUAGACUGUGUGUGGCUGCAGUGCCCCCCCAGCCCCCCCCCCACCUGCUACAAUCAAUGAAACUGAAAUAGGAUAUGCAAACACACACACACACACACACACACACUGUCCUUCUGUCUCUGCAUUUGCUCAGAAAUAUCGUUGAAAUAUUUUAUUAUUUCAUUUGAUUUAAAAUCUUUCUCUCCUGCAGCAUCAAAACCUGAAGGCCGCCUCGACGUCCAGCCAACGGGGACCUGCAGCAUCGCCAAAAAUGAUGGCAGCAUGGAAAUGCUGCUACUGCAGGCUGAAGCAGCGUAACAUGACAAAGCGUUUUGCAGGAGCAGAUGGAGAAAUGAUGCAGCACUUUCUUUGCUGGACUGAUUUUCUUGCAGAGUUUUCAGGAAGGUGCUUGUAUGAAACUGUUGGUUGUGAGGUUUUCAGCUCCGUCCCUGAAGAUGUUCAGUCUAAAACUGAGCUGAGGAGAGACUACUCGUACAUUUUAUCCAUUUUCUGCCACUUAUCUGGGUCUCGGGGCCAGUGAUGCCUAGACCCCCCCCCAUCUCUUCUGGAGGAGGUGGCUGGAUGUUCCCAUGCUAGCUGUGAGACAUAAUCUCCUCCCAUGUGUCCUGGGCCUCCUCAUGGUUGGACACCCUGACACCGACUCCGAGGAAACUCCUUUCUGCUGCUUCUGACCUCAGUUGUUCACUCACAGCUCACGGUUACAGCAGACCAACGCAGCAUCCUCAUCACUGCUGAUGCUGCACCAUUACAACUGAAACACUGGUUCCACUCUUUCCCAA